AAGAUUUGGUGGUGAUUUGCAUGAGUUUUGGAAGAAGAAAUGUUGAAGGUUUCGGUUGUCCCUUUUGCUGCUACUAUCCGCCAUGAAGCUUUGCAGAAAUGAAAUGAGAUUGCUGGUUCCUUUGCGUACAUAUAGACGCUUGACGUCUAAUAUAUUAAAUACGUCAAAUCAAUUACAACUAGUGCCCUACGCCGCGCGUUUGUGUUCGAUUUCUCUUACGUUUGUUGCACUAGUGCACUAAACCUCUAGGGCACUUACAUCAUAUAUAUGUUAUUCAUUCUUAAUUGUCCCAAAUAAUGGUCCAAAGUCCCUCAAUUAAGCGGCACGUGCAAACACGUAUUUCUAAUUUAGGCGUAAUAAAAUUGAAACCUUUGAAAAAUUCUUAUAACGAUUGUACCACUGGCUAUCACUUGUGUGAUUAAACCUAAAUUAUCUAUUUUAGGACGCAUUGUAUAGUCUCAAAUUUUGAGCUUAUUGUACUCCUAAUUGGCUAAAGUUUUCAGACACGUUUUCACUUUUUCACUAAACAAGGUUUUAAGAAAAUAAUUUUUUUGAACGAGACACUUUAAAAAUAUAACGGAGCUAUAAAAUCAUAUAUUUAGGUUAAUAAGGAUAGAAAAUAAUAUUCGGGCAAAAAUCAAAUAGAUAAUUAAUUGAGCCAAAAUUAGGGUUUAAAAUAAUAUUUUACGAGUCCUCACGUGAAUUGAGUAUUAAUUCCUCAAUUAUCCUUUCUUAAUCUAUUAUUGAUCGUUCUUAAUUCUCCAAUAUUAAUACACUCUCGAUUCAAAUAUAGUUUCGAAAAAACGUGCACUCGUUUGUUCCGAACUAAACGAGUUUUCGAAGAGUGAAUUUUUCCAACAAAACUCUUUUAAAAAUAUAAAAGAGGCGUCGUUCCAUAUAAAUGGAUUUUAAAUGAUCGAAAUAAAUAAUUUGGAGAAAAAUGAGUAAAUAAAUAUUUAAACAAACUACUAAUAUUCGCAUCAAAUAAAAUAAAAAAAAUUUCGGGUCUUCACAUCCUCCCCUCCUUAAAAGAAUUUCGUCCUCGAAAUUCACACUUUGGAUAAUAGUCAUACCCUUAAGAGUCAUGCCUUUCAAAUUAAUCACUAACUUACACCCUUCGAUCCAUAUAUCACAAUUUCUAUUUACCCAAUUAGUAGUCAAACUUUGAUUCUAUCUUAUGAAUCUAGGUUUUGCAAAAAGUGUGUACGGUACUAGGUUACUGAGAACCUUAGAUAGACAAAUAAAAGAAAGAAUCAUAUCCAAUGACUUUAGUAGAAUCGGAAACAUGUUGAUAGCCUAAUGCAUAAACCCUAGCUGGUGCAUUAGAUCGACUUCCUCCAACACUAGGCUCUUAGAGCGCUGACUUUUCAGGCCUUUGGGUACUACCGCCUUCUUUUGGUACGGUCGGGCAUUUCGAUAUCUGGUGCUCGUACUACCACAAUACAAGCACUUCCCUGUUUCCUAAAACAAUCAUUCUCCGUAUGGUUGAGUUGCCACAAUAACCACAAACGACUUGGGGAGCCACAGAUUGACCACUUGGAGUGUCCCUCUCGAUUGACCUCGUCCAUUGCGAUCUCCUCUUGAUUGAGUCCCUUUUGGCAUGUUAGAUAUCUCCACUCCACCCGUUCCUUUUCCCUUUUUAAAAGGUGGGGCACUCUUAUUUGCCUGUCCGAAGGGUUACUAGAAGUGCUCCUCUUCUUAGCAUGAAAGUCUCUAACUUGCAGCCUUGCACUCUCGACUCUCUGUGCUUUUCUAAAACUUCAAUGAAUGUAGAGAUUUGGGCUGCAGCCAAACCCUCCUGGAUUUCUACAUUAAGUCCCUGCACGAACCGUCUAAUCCUCCUCCGUUCAUUAAUCACCAAUUCAGGAGCCGUACUUAGAAAGUUUAGUGAACUUUCCCUCGUACUCCGCUACACUAAGGUUCCUUGUUUCAACUUGAUGAAUUCAUCCUCCCUUUUCUCUUGGAUUAAGGGCGGAAGAAAUUUCUCAUUAAAUUCCCUGUGAAAUUCUCCCAAGUCCAAGGGGUUUGAGUUCUCUCCCAUUUUUCUUAUCAGAUCCCACCAAGCACGGGCUACUCCCUCAAAUUGGAAAGCAGCGAAUUUACUCGCCUAUCUUCAGUGUAGUCUAAAGCAGCGAAUAUGUUGGUCAUCCUUUCUAACCAAUUCUCCGCUACCUCAGGAUCAGGUUCGCACAAGAAACUUAGGCGGGAUUUAAAUUUUAAGAACCUCUCUAACGCUCUUCCUCACCUCUUUCCUGACCCCCAGGUGGUUAAACGGUCCUGGAUCCUGUCUAUCAGCCAAACGCUCUAGAUAUCAGUCAUCCUAUUAAUGGCAGUAGCCACUUGAUUACCCUCGAUAUUUUCCUGACCUUGGAUCGGUUGCAGUUGCCGAUCCUGGUCACCCUUUGAGGUUGGGCCUGUCUAGUCCUCGCCCACGACCUCGACCCGGCCUCGACCACCUCUUAGUCCUUCCAUGACCUAGCGUGCUAGUGCAAGAAAUAAAUUAUGCGAUGCAUAACAAAGCAGGAACCACUCAAGAAAACAUUGGAUAUUAACAAUAAUUUACAUUAAUUACCAUAUCAAGUUCAUAAAAUUGCAAGUCAUGGGGUAGUCACAAAAAUAUAGCACACAGAUGCUACAAGAGUAUUUUAAUCACAUACGACUAAAGUAAAGCCAAGUGCCUCAAAAGUAGGCCACACAGUCAUACAAAAAAAAUGCAAUGGCCUAACACUAGCAUCACCCCAACUAAAUCUAACUACAUCAGUCAAAAGGGGCUAAAUUUUUUUUUUCUCGUUCAUUUCCAACUCAUAUCAAACAAUUGGAUCCUAUUGAGUUACAUAGGACCAUCCAUCAAUCUUUCUCUAUCUCUCUCUCUCUUAGGCUCAACUACAUUCUACUUCUCUCUAGUGAAUAUUGUCCCACACUCAGUUAAAAUAUUCUGCGCCAGAUGUCUCAUUUCUCUUACUAUAUGAACUGGACAUCCGUUGACCUCCUGCACUUGUUCUCACAAAACAUUAGUCCGUUCUUGUUCUUCGCAAAUGGAGAUCUUAAGUUUUUAGCAUUGCCCUCAACUCUUAAUUACUCGGGUACAAGAAUUCGAAAUAAGAUAAUUCACAUCUCGAGCUGGCCAGUCCCAAGAGUAAAUCACCAUAUUUAAGAUUCCUACCCAACAUACAUAUCUAGUCUUUCCCCAAGUAUUACGAUAAAAUAUUUAUACCUAUCACAUUCAUGAUUCACAGCUUACACUCUAAAAGAGUACUUAAGCCUUUACUCAUUCAUAUGAUAAGGACCAUAAUACCAUUUGGCCCAAUCUCCCCCGCGCAAAUACCACGCGAAGCGGCUCUGAUUUUUUUUUUUCUACAAGUGGUCACUUAACUUUCAAACCAGUCCCACAGUCCGGCAUCCUAAACUUCAAACUUAGAAUACACUACAAAGAUCUGAAACCUAAGCUCUGAUACCAACUGUGACGCCCCCCACUUCUCCCAAGGGUAUCCGCGGGACGCCUGCCCAGCUCUCGCCAGGACUCAAGACAAAUCAAAUCGAACUUAACGAUACAUACCAAAUACUACGAGUCAAAAUAAAGAAAAGUCGCUUCCUUAACUAAAUAUUUAAAUCUUACAUCAUGUUCACAAAAGAUACAUCAAGUUCCAAAAUGCAACCAUUAAAAGUCGACUACACAUUUACAGCCCCGAUUCCAAUCAAAAGUAUAAUCUAGUCGGCUUUACCAAAAUCUUCCAAUCCAACCUGUUAAGGAAAACAAACUAAUAGGAUGAGCCAAUACUCAGUGAGGCCAAGAAAACACACAUGCAAACACAUAAUCCAAGUAGUAGCACAACAAUUACAUUGUAGGUAAGGCUAUCAAAUUCGAAUAAUUCACAUUUCGAAUAGGAAAAAUAAACAGAAACAAUUCAAGGAUACUGUAGCUCUCAGGAGCUAAAUUCCACGUAGUCGAGUCGAAGUCUUGAUCACAUCUCACGUUGACACUCCGUCAACCACAUAAGUAUCAAAUCCGUAGAUACACCACUUUUCUUCGAAUCCCGUCACCGUUACACCCCCUUACCGGGCCCGCUCAUCAAAGUUUUUGAUAAUACUCGAGUAUAUCAUGGCAAUACUGCACGAGUAAUGCCGAGCAAGAUCUCUCCAAUAGAUCAUGCUCUACGAAUAUCUCAUGGUUUGCUAAGCUUAUCGACCAAGCCCAUGCUGGCUCGAUUCGCAAAGUUAGCCAACGAGUUUUGGGCGUCCCCCGAAUAUGAAUACGAAUACGAAUAUAAGUCGAUGAGCAACGCUCAAAUCGACGAUUCCAAAUAGGAAUCACAAAUACGGAUCACAUAUACGAAUCACAAGUACAAAUCACAUCCACAUUACCAUGUACAAGUUGGAUACGAAUUCACAUAGCAAAAUUCGAAUAUAAUUUCAUUUGAAAGAGAACGAGUGCGAUAAAGUACACUCGUCUCAAAAUUUCAAAUUUUCAUAACGGAUAAGAAACAGAUAACCACUUAACAACAAGUUCAUGCACUUGACACUCACAGUGAUUCAAGUAGCGAGUUCAAAUGAUGGUUUAGGCGUCUCCCGUGAGAUCCUCUGGAAGGUCCUCUUGAGCGCCUGAGCAUUUAAUAGUGAAUUAUCAUUCACACAUCCCAAUUAUCAAGGAAGAUUGUGCACUAGUACAAUCUGGGGAAAUUUCAUGAAAAUGAACCUCAAUUACUAGUAAAUCGAGGUUCAAGUGGAGUUUCUUAAUGUACAAGAGCAAUCGAGUUUUGUUAUCUUGGAAAUCAAGCAUAAACGUUCAAGUAUUAUCGAAGGAAUAAGGAAUACUUGAAAAACUCCAUUUCCUUGAAAUUCAGAAAAUUUCAGUUUUGAUACGAUAUUUUGAAAAAAUCGUAUCUCAGAUUCCACAUGUCGAAAAUUGGAAAACUUGGUACCGUUGGAAACCUCUUCCAAAGUACUAAAAGUUCUUAGAAGACACUUUUCCAUGAAUCUAAGUGGAAGGUGUUCAAAAAUGAGCUUAAAGUUGCUGUUCCAAAUCACCCAGAUUGAGCGGGGUUGGUUUUUCGCUAACUUUGAAAAUUCAGCAGAAUUCACUCGUUGCAAACCAGCCCUUGAAAUUUGUAGCUCAAUUAGAGGUGCAAGUAAGGUUUAGGCAGAACAAGCGGAUCGAGAAUCGAGAUGAGUUUCGAGCACCAAGAUAUGGUAGCUCAAAGUUGGGUAAAUUUCAAGACUGUUAACAAAUUUCCAGAUUUGGUUCCGACUUUGGACCUUUAGUUAAGUGUCGAAACGGACUUGGAUUGAUACCAAAUUUUGCAGUAUAAUACUCCCAUAUUUAAGGUUAACCAAUCAACCAAAGUUUGGAAAAAUCCUUAAGGCAAUCUGUCCAAAUCUAGGGUUUCAAAAACGAGGCAGUCGCCGUAUUUUGAUCAUAACUCCCUCAAUUUUACUCAGAAUUGGGAAUGGUUGAUAGUGUUAGAAAAUAGAUUCACAGGGCUAAAAUUGUACAGAAGAAAUCGUUUCAAGUUUCAGCAUGCAACUGGUUCGAAAUUAAACCUAAAGUUGCAGCAUCAUCAAAUCAUUUCGGCAGAACGGAGAAACAGGACAGCCGACUUCAGAUGAAUGGUGUGGCUCACACACAUGAAACCAGAAUGUGCAUAUACACCGUUGGAAACAUGGGAACGUCUAGUUUCAAAUGCCACUAACGGCACUUGAUUUCAACAUCGGACUACAGAGUUAUGGACGAAACACGAACACUGGUCUGGUUAUGACGGCAACCGUUUUUCCCAGAUUACUAGCUUUGGAAAUAAAUUCGUUUGACCCACCAAAACUCAGUAUUUUUCAACGAAAAUUUGUACACAACUGCUACAACAUGUAAACAACAUAAUCAGGCCAUUAAAUCCUCAGCUUCUGCAUUAAAAUGACCGAACAGAGCAGGGUAAAAUGGGAACUUUUUGUUUCAAGAGUUCAAUAACGUUUCUGGUAACAAAGCACCUUUAAUCUACUUCCUUAAGCUCUAAUUCAGCAACAAAACCAUCAUCAAACAUCAUCACAGCCAUCAACCCAAAGUGGGAGUUCAUAGAGCUCACGUUUAACAAUUUUCCCAACAAUACAAGCUACUAAAGUGACGAUUCUAGCUCAAAUGCAUAAAUCAAACUCCAAAAGACAAGUUUAAGGUGAUUGAUUACUACCUACUUUGAUGGCUAGUUAGGACAGAAGUUUCAGCCCCUUUGAAGCUUGAAGAACCGUGAAAGCUCCUCCCUUUUCCAGCUAAAUAUGUUGUCCAAGACUUAGGCUAAGUGGUGCUAAAUUUUUAGAAGAUUUGGUGGUGAUUUGCAUGAGUUUUGGAAGAAGAAAUGUUGAAGGUUUCGGUUGUCCCUUUUGCUGCUGCUAUCCGGCCAUGAAGCUUUGCAGAA
rnacentral:lncRNA from 1 species